GAGUUUGAUCCUGGCUCAGGACGAACGCUGGCGGCGUGCUUAACACAUGCAAGUCGAGCGAAAGGCCCCUUCGGGGGUACUCGAGCGGCGAACGGGUGAGUAACACGUGGGUAAUCUGCCUAGACACAGGAAUAACCAGUGGAAACGCUGGCUAAUGCCUGAUGAUGUGCCGGCCUUGCGGGCUGGUACCAAAGGUAGCUUCGGCUUCCGGUCUUGGAUGAGCCCGCGGCCCAUUAGCUUUUGGCGGGGUAAUGGCCCACCAAGGCUUCGAUGGGUAGCUGGUCUGAGAGGACGAUCAGCACACUGGGACUGAGACACGGCCCAGACUCCUACGGGAGGCAGCAGUGGGGAAUCUUGCGCAUGGGCGAAAGCCUGACGCAGCAACGCCGCGUGCGGGAAGAAGGUCUUAGGGUUGUAAACGCUUUCAGCAGGGACGAAGGCGUCCGGGUUAAUAGCCCGUACGUUGACGGUACCUGCAGAGAAGGUCCGGCUAACUAUGUGCCAGCAGCCGCGGUAAUACGUAGGGACCAAGCGUUGUCCGAAUCAUUGGGCGUAAAGAGCGUGUAGGCGGGCCUG
rnacentral:rRNA from 1 species